GAUGAAGAACGCAGCGAAAUGCGAUACGUAAUGUGAAUUGCAGAAUUCAGUGAAUCAUCGAGUCUUUGAACGCACAUUGCGCCCCUUGGUAUUCCGGGGGGCAUGCCUCUUCCAGCGUCAUUUCACCCCUCAAGCUCUGCUUGGUUUUGGGCCGCGCCGGCAACGGCGGGCCUCGAAAAUAGUGGCGACGCCAUCGUGCUCUCAGCGUAGUAAUUCUUCUCGCUGUUGGGUCCCGGUGGUCGUCCGCCAGCAACCCCCAACUUUCUUAAGUUUGACCUGGGAUGAGGUAGGGAUACCCGCUGAACUUAAGCAUAUCAAUAAGCGGAGGA
rnacentral:misc_RNA from 1 species